ensembl:lncRNA
CCAUGUUUUGGACUGGGAAAAAGAGAUGGAGAACUGGAGAUGAUAGAAUGGAGCCCAAGGGGAAGUGAGGAGUCAUCUAAACGUGAUUGGGACCAGAGCUGUGUCACCUGGUCCAUCUCAGCUCCUAUCUGAGAAGGCUUAGAACAUCCGGCCCAGGGAUGAGUAAGCAGAGACUAAGUCUUUUGUUCUAUUGGAGAAACGUGAGUCUCUUUGCAAAGAGAAAAUUGGAUCCUUCAGGAAUAUUUGCACCACAAUGGUAAGUAGUAGAGCUCUCGAUCUCAUUUUGGACUACUCCUGAUGUAACUGAUUUCUCUGAUUUUCUGUUUGUUUCCAUAUGCCACAGGCAUAAGGAUCACUUAAAAAUAUA